rnacentral:rRNA from 1 species
GACGAACGCUGGCGGCGCGCUUAACACAUGCAAGUCGAACGGAAAGGCCUGCUUUCCCUUGUGGAUUGCGGGUACUCGAGUGGCGAACGGGUGAGUAACACGUGAGUGAUCUGCCCCCAACUUGGGUAUAAGCCUGGGAAACUGGGUCUAAUUCCCGAUAGGACUGCAGGGUGGUGCCUGUGGUGGAAAACGAUUUUCUAGUGGUUGGGGAUGAGCUCGCGGCCUAUCAGCUUGUUGGUGGGGUAAUGGCCUACCAAGGCGGCGACGGGUAGCCGGCCUGGGAGGGUGGACGGCCACAGUGGGACUGAGAUACGGCCCAGACUCCUACGGGAGGCAGCAGUGGGGAAUAGUGCACAAUGGGCGGAAGCCUGAUGCAGCGACGCCGCGUGGGGGAUGACGGCCUUCGGGUUGUAAACUCCUUUCGACCGCGAGGAAGCCACCUGGUUGGAAGGGUGGUGACGGUAGUGGUAGAAGAAGCACCGGCUAACUACGUG